UACGUAGGCAGCGAGCGUUGUUCGGAGUUACUGGGCGUAAAGAGCUCGUAGGCGGUUUGUUGCGUCGGCUGUGAAAUCCCGAGGCUCAACCUCGGGUCUGCAGUCGAUACGAGCAAACUAGAGUGUUGCAGGGGAGACUGGAAUUCCUGGUGUAGCGGUGAAAUGCGCAGAUAUCAGGAGGAACACCGGUGGCGAAGGCGGGUCUCUGGGCAACAACUGACGCUGAGGAGCGAAAGCGUGGGGAGCGAACAGG
rnacentral:rRNA from 1 species